rnacentral:lncRNA from 1 species
GGUAAGAUGAAAUAACUAACUUUUGAAAUCUUACGAUGUUAAAUUUAAUAUUGUUUUCCUUACUGAGUAUAUGGAACUCACUCUUUCCAUACCUCUCCCCCUCCAGAUGAGGAAGAAAGUGAGGAAUCGCAGCUAACCUACUCUUGGAAGUCUAUGAGGAUCCCGUUGAUCAACAAGUCUGAGUGCAUGACUAUUCAUGCACUUUGAUGAGUCCAAUAGCAUAGUGAAAGAAGUGG